rnacentral:rRNA from 1 species
UGGGGAAUUUUGGACAAUGGGCGAAAGCCUGAUCCAGCAAUGCCGCGUGUGUGAAGAAGGCCUUCGGGUUGUAAAGCACUUUUGUCCGGAAAGAAAUCCUUGGCUCUAAUACAGUCGGGGGAUGACGGUACCGGAAGAAUAAGCACCGGCUAACUACGUGCCAGCAGCCGCGGUAAUACAUAGGGUGCAAGCGUUAAUCGGAAUUACUGGGCGUAAAGCGUGCGCAGGCGGUUUGCUAAGACCGAUGUGAAAUCCCCGGGCUCAACCUGGGAACUGCAUUGGUGACUGGCAGGCUAGAGUAUGGCAGAGGGGGGUAGAAUUCCACGUGUAGCAGUGAAAUGCGUAGAGAUGUGGAGGAAUACCGAUGGCGAAGGCAGCCCCCUGGGCCAAUACUGACGCUCAUGCACGAAAGCGUGGGGAGCAAACAGGAUUAGAUACCCUGGUAGUCCACGCCCUAAACGAUGUCACUAGUUGUUGGGGAUCAUUCCUUAGUAACGUAGCUAACGCGUGAAGUUGACCGCCUGGGGGGUACGGUCGCAAGAUUAAAACUCAAAGGAAUUGACGGGGUCAUA